rnacentral:rRNA from 1 species
UUUGGUGGUUAGGCAUCCGGGGUAACACCCGUUCCCAUUCCGAACACGAAGGUUAAGCCUGGGUGCGACGAUGAUACUAAGCUGGAGACGGCUUGGGAAAGUAGGUGUCUGCCAAAU